CAUCACUGCUGGGAAUGCAACAUGGUGCAGCCACUUUGGAAAACAGUCUGGAAGCUCCUCGGAAAGCAAAACAUAGAAUUACCAGGGGGCCCAACAAUUCCACUCCUAGCGCCAACACCAAGCACUGGCUCCGGCAUGUAAUAGUCGCUCAAUAAACGCCUGACAAAUGAAUGGCACAAAGAAGGCGCUCGAGAAACGUAAACAGUGUUGAAGCAACUCACCUAAUGCCACGCGCUUCAGAGGGAGAAGGGACUUCGCUGGUCGUGUGUGGAUGCCCUUGGUGUUCAGGUGUCACAGGUCCAGCAAAACAAGAACCUCGCUGUAGCCCUGGAGGCCUGGGAGGAAGGGGCCGAGGUGAAACCACGCUCUGGCCAGGGAACUCAUGGAAAAGCAGCCUCGCUUCCUGCGCAGCUGCUCUGGGCCCCCAACCCGGUUUUAAACCACAGCCUCAGACACACUUCGUCUUUGCAGGGUGGCUGAAAAGUUCCGGUAAAGCAACCGUGGGCUUGCUCCAUGCUGGGGCGAAGAGCGGGCAGGAAGCGGGGCUGCGUCAGGACGCGGUGCCUCCCCUGAGAGGCAGGGGGCUGGCGAAGGCUGAGGGGCAGGUGCAGACGGUGAGCCGGGAGGACCAGGAGUUACUGUUCGGGUCCUUGUGAAUUCCAAAGCCUCUUGGGAAUGUCAUCUGUAAGCAUCCACUAACACUUAGAAACACACAUUCUCUUUGACCCUGCCAUCCCACUUCCGGGAAUCUGCCCCACAGGAAUGGAAACCCUAGCAUGGAAGGCCACAGGACCAGAAUGUUUACUGUGCCAUGUUUGUGGGGGCAAAAACCUGGAAGCAAUCUGACAGUCCAUCAGGACUGGAAAGGUUGGAGAAGUUGUGCUACGUGCCUUUUUGAAAUACCAACCUUUUAAAAAUUCGAUUUCUAUGUAAUUAUCUGGAGUACUGUCCUUGAUCUAUUGCAAAGUAAAAAACGGAAAACCCCCAAAAAACUCCAAGUAGGCCAGUAAUGUGAAUCAAACAAUGCUAGAAAAUUU
rnacentral:lncRNA from 1 species